rnacentral:rRNA from 1 species
CGGAGGAUCCAAGCGUUAUCCGGAAUUACUGGGCGUAAAGAGUUGCGUAGGUGGCACUGUAAGUUGUUAGUGAAAGCGUCCGGCUCAACCGGAUAAACAUUACCAAAACUGCAGAGCUAGAGGACAAGAGAGGUUAUUGGAAUUCCUAGUGUAGGAGUGAAAUCCGUAGAUAUUAGGAGGAACACCGAUGGCGUAGGCAGAUAACUGGCUUGUUCCUGACACUAAGGCACGAAAGCAUGGGUAGCAAACGGGAUUAGAUACCCCGGUAGUCCAUGCCGUAAACGAUGGAUGCUAGCUGUUAUCGGUAUCGACCCCGGUAGUAGCGAAGCUAACGCGUUAAGCAUCCCGCCUGUGGAGUACGGUCGCAAGACUA